GCCGUGGUUGAGUCAGGCAAACUCGGUUGGAUUGCUAAUCCAACGGCCUUUAUGGUCAGAAGGUUCGAAUCCUUCCCUCGGCG
rnacentral:tRNA from 1 species